AUACGUAGGGUGCGAGCGUUAAUCGGAAUUACUGGGCGUAAAGCGGGCGCAGGCGGUUAUGUAAGACAGAUGUGAAAUCCCCGGGCUCAACCUGGGAACUGCCUUUGUGACUGCAAGGCUAGAGUACGGCAGAGGGGGAUGGAAUUCCGCGUGUAGCAGUGAAAUGCGUAGAUAUGCGGAGGAACACCGAUGGCGAAGGCAAUCCCCUGGGCCUGUACUGACGCUCAUGCACGAAAGCGUGGGGAGCAAACAGGAUUAGAAACCCCAGUAGUCC
rnacentral:rRNA from 1 species